rnacentral:rRNA from 1 species
ACACAUGCAAGUCGAGCGGGGUUUUCGGACCUAGCGGCGGACGGGUGAGUAAUGCGUAGGAAGCUGCCCGAUAGAGGGGGAUACCAGUUGGAAACGACUGUUAAUACCGCAUAAUGUCUACGGACCAAAGUGUGGGACCUUCGGGCCACAUGCUAUCGGAUGCGCCUACGUGGGAUUAGCUAGUUGGUGAGGUAAUGGCUCACCAAGGCGACGAUCUCUAGCUGGUUUGAGAGGAUGAUCAGCCACACUGGAACUGAGACACGGUCCAGACUCCUACGGGAGGCAGCAGUGGGGAAUAUUGGACAAUGGGCGCAAGCCUGAUCCAGCCAUGCCGCGUGUGUGAAGAAGGCCUUCGGGUUGUAAAGCACUUUCAGCGAGGAGGAAGGGUGGUGUGUUAAUAGCACAUCAUUUUGACGUUACUCGCAGAAGAAGCACCGGCUAACUCUGUGCCAGCAGCCGCGGUAAUACAGAGGGUGCAAGCGUUAAUCGGAAUUACUGGGCGUAAAGCGCACGUAGGCGGUUUUUUAAGUCAGAUGUGAAAGCCCCGGGCUCAACCUGGGAAUUGCAUUUGAAACUGGAAAACUAGAGUGUGUGAGAGGGGGGGUAGAAUUCCAAGUGUAGCGGUGAAAUGCGUAGAGAUUUGGAGGAAUACCAGUGGCGAAAGCGGCCCCCUGGCACAACACUGACGCUCAGUGCGAAAGCGUGGGGAGCAAACAGAUUAGAUACCCUGGUAGUCCACGCCGUAAACGAUGUCUACUAGCUGUU